rnacentral:rRNA from 1 species
AGUCGUAACAAGGUUUCCGUAGGUGAACCUGCGGAAGGAUCAUUAGUGAAUAAACUUGUGUGAGUUGUUGCUGGCUACUUCGGUGGCAUGUGCACACUUGCUCAUUGUUUCGUUCCUCCCCUUCCACCUGUGCACUCAUUGUAGACCACACUGCUGCCUAUCAGGUAUGUGCUUUCCGCACUUCCCCUGGCAUGGGGACUGCCCCUUGGGCUGGCCUUGGGUGGGGGUGGGCUAUGUUCUCAUCAACCCCAAUUGGAUGUGAUUGAAUGGAUGAACUGGGCUCUUCAUAAACCCAUAAAACUUAAUACAACUUUCAACAACGGAACUCUUGGGUCUCGCAUCCAUGAAAAACGCAACGAAAUGGGAUAAGUAAUGGGAAUUGGAGAAAUCAAUGAAUCAUCCAAUCUUUGAACGCACCUUGGGCUCCUUGGUAUUCCCAAGAACAUGCCUGUUUGAAUGUGCAUUAAAACCUCAACUCCUUCUCCCUUUUGGAAGAAUGGGGUUGGAUGUGGUAAUUGCUGGGUCAUCCUCAGCUCUUCUCAAAUGGAUUAACAAGGCCAUCCCAUGCAAAGCUGCAGCUUGGUAUUGAUAAUGGCCUACCAAGGCAGUGGCCGAGUGAAGUGCUCAGCUUCUAGCUGUCUCAUUGUUGGGACAAUAAUCAUGACGAUUUGACCUCAAAUCAGGUAGGACUACCCGCUGAACUUAAGCAUAUCAAUAAGCGGAGGAAAAGAAACUAACAAGGAUUCCCCUAGUAACUGCGAGUGAAGCGGGAAGAGCUCAAAUUUAAAAUCUGGCAGUCUCUGGCUGUCCGAGUUGUAAACUAGAGAAGUGUUAUCCGUG